CUCCUCUCCAGAGAUGCACGUCGGUUGCCUUUCGGCUCUCUCCUGCCUCUGCAGUGUGCACAUGCCGACGGUCUGUUACUCUCUGCAAAUCAGGGAUGAAGGACACCGCAAUCCACCAAAGGAGGUUCGCCGACCCGGACAGCGGCCGCCACACAUGGAGGACACAGCCGGUGGACCAGCACCGGAGCAGAGGAGGCCGUCCGGGGUGAGGCAGUGUGCGCAGCGCUGCAUGAAUGGCGCUCUCGUCAUUGUUGCUCAGACACUUACAAUGUCCGGGACUCUCAGGUCAACUGUGCUGCCUGUCCGUCAUCCUCCACACAACUAGACUCUGCUGGCUGCCUCCACGCUCUGGCAAUCCGGCUCAAGGACCUUUUUUUUUUUUUUGUUGUGCUGCGAAAGUUCUCCAUGUACUCUUUCGUCUUCUUGAAGUACACGGAGGGUUUCUGUUGAUGUGAAUGCUCAAACAUGC
ensembl:lncRNA